AUGGGCGACUUCGACUGUGGCGCCAUCGACUGUGGCGACUGUGGCGACAUCGACUGUGGCGACUGCUGCGAUGAGUGCUUCGACUGCUGCGAUGAGCCGUGCGUCUGCUGCGUCUGCUUCUCGGAUGCCAUCAGUGGCAAGGCACUCCUCUGCAUCCUCUGUGGUCUCGUGAUCUUCGCCGUCCUCGCCGCCCUGGUCACGCUGCUCGUCAUCGCCCUCGUCCCCCGCCGCGUCCGCCUCAGCGUGGAGGAUGCGGCCCUCGCCCGCCUCGCCCUCGGCGACAAGAACGCCACGGCCACGGCGCUCGCCUACGACAUCUCCAUCGCCGUCGCCGUGCACAACGGCAACUGGUUCAUGCCCGCCGAGCACACCGCGCCGCUCUACGCGGAUCUGCUCUUCGACGGCGCCCGCUUAGCCCGCGUUGGGCUGGCGACCGCAGGGGCCGUGGUCCGACCGCGGCGCAGAGAAGUGUACCACGCCACGGCGGCGGCCGACAGCGCGAGCGUCGCGCUGGGGAGCACAGCGGUGGCGGAGUUCGCCAGGGAGAGCACGGCGGGGGUGUUCCAGCUGGAGCUCAGGGUUCUCGGGGAAGUCAGGUACUGGCCACACCACAAGAAGUACAGGCUGGACGCGAUCUGCCGGCUAGAGUUGGCUCUGUCAACGGCAACGUCGCCGGCGAUGUUCAGAAAGGUAAAGUGCGAUGUUCAGAAAGAUCAUGGUGGCCGAUGA
rnacentral:rRNA from 1 species